CCAGCACAUAAGAAGCACGUGACAAAUUACUCUCAUCUGUUGGAUUAAAUAACAGCUGGCAUGGAUCCGACGGUCCUAAUGAGACUAGCGGUUAUAAUUGUUGUAUAUCAACUACUGUGAAGGGGAAAAGGAGCAACGACCCGGUUCUUACACCAUUGGAGAAUGGCCAAGUUACUGCCAUUGUUGUAGCUUAGUUAAGUGAAUGUAGUAGUGAAGUGAUUGUAAAUUAUUGUUCCACUAUUAAUAAAAUUCCCAAUUUUCUUCGAUCAA